rnacentral:rRNA from 1 species
GUGGCAAGCGUUAUCCGGAUUUAUUGGGCGUAAGCGAGCGCAGCGGUUUCUAAGUCUGAUGUGAAAGCCUUCGGCUUAACCGAAGAAGGGCAUCGGAAACUGGAUGACUUGAGUGCAGAAGAGGGCAGUGGAACUCCAUGUGUAGCGGUGGAAUGCGUAGAUAUAUGGAAGAACACCAGUGGCGAAGGCGGCUGCCUAGUCUGCAACUGACGCUGAGACUCGAAAGCAUGGGUAGCGAACAGGAUUAGAUACCCUGGUAGUCAAGGGCG